ACUCCCGUAGCUCAAUCGGUUUAGAGCACCAAGCUUAUAUGACAUGGUAUCAAAAGUACCACUUAUAUGUGCCUCUUGGAGGUUGGGAGUUCGAUCCUCCCCGGGAGUA